UGGUAGUAACAGAGCGAAAAUGGCGUAGAGCGGAGGCUGUGCGGAGACAGGGGACGAGGGGACCUUCUCCUCUCCCGGUUGUGAGGAGAGGGGAAAGAGGGGCCAUGCGGUUUUUUGGUUUAGUCUUCUUUAAGUAUGACCUCACACGGCGCGGUCACUCUAUAUAGAAUGAGCCCGGCAUACGUCCAGUUCGGGAGACCUGGAUGUGUCUCGGUAGAGGAAGAAACCUUGGCUUUUGUUUACCAUGUUGAGCCGCAGCAGCUCGAGCCCCAGAGGAAAUACCUCCGCAUCAUCUCGGACCAACUGUCACACCAAGGAUGGGUUUCCCAUUCAGUGCAGCUGUGAAACCAGCUGAAGCCCCAACCGGAGGAACAUCAGCCCCAGCACCAUCAACGGACCACUUCCACGGCCACCCACGCUUUUGGAGGUAAAGGAUGAAGAGGCAUUGUGAAGAUGACCUCUUUUUGGGGCUUUUGGGACACGAGUGCCCUCCUGGGACAUUGUCUCUCUCUGUCUCCUCCUCUCCUUCUUGCAGCAUGAUCAUUUUUCAGGACAUCGGCCAAGAUUGCGCGCUAGUGUGACUUCCAUCAAGCACACUCUGACUACGUCUACAUGGAGCAAAACGCUGGCUUUGCAGUCACUAAACUGGCUGAAAGGUCGGGGAGCUUGAGUUCUCCGUGUAAUGGCCUGAAAGACUCCAUCAUUUGGGCCUUUUCAGUCAGAUUUGGGUUAGAUUCUUUUCAGUCUGCAUGUAAACGUAGUCACUGAUGCUUUCCUGAGAAGGUAAAAAGAAAAUCCCCCACAUGCUCUACAGUUAGAUCAGAGCAGUUGGACAAACAAACGGCUCCUGUUACCUGGGAAAAGAGUAAUGACGCAACUUACUGUAGCAAAGAUCAAGGCCUGUGAUUAAAUUCAAUUCAUAGGGUGUUUUUUUUUGUUUUUGCACUACCUCAUCGCCCUAACAAAUCCAACAGGAGUGAAUGGGUGCGUGAACGAUAAAAGUAACUUAAUGGUUGUCAAGCGCCACAGCCGUUUUACAUGUUGUUACUGGUUAAAUUUAGUCAAAUAAGGGACGUAGUUGACAGGCGAGCAGGAGCAGCCGGCAGCACAUGAUUCAACCAUUUUGAGGAAAAUGUCGACUCACUCAAACUGGUCCCCUAUGCAUCUGUUCCAAAGGAAGGUCGCAAGAUAGUAUUUUUACUCCACAAU